AAAGGGUCCGUAGGCGGUUUAAUAAGUCAGUGGUGAAAGCCCAUCGCUCAACGGUGGAACGGCCAUUGAUACUGUUAAACUUGAAUUAUUAGGAAGUAACUAGAAUAUGUAGUGUAGCGGUGAAAUGCUUAGAGAUUACAUGGAAUACCAAUUGCGAAGGCAGGUUACUACUAAUGGAUUGACGCUGAUGGACGAAAGCGUGGGUAGCGAACAGGAUUAGAUACCCGGGU
rnacentral:rRNA from 1 species